rnacentral:rRNA from 1 species
UACGAAGGGGGCUAGCGUUGCUCGGAAUCACUGGGCGUAAAGGGUGCGUAGGCGGGUCUUUUAAGUCAGGGGUGAAAUCCUGGAGCUCAACUCCAGAACUGCCUUUGAUACUGGCGACCUUGAGUCCGGGAGAGGUGAGUGGAACUGCGAGUGUAGAGGUGAAAUUCGUAGAUAUUCGCAAGAACACCAGUGGCGAAGGCGGCUCACUGGCCCGGUACUGACGCUGAGGCACGAAAGCGUGGGGAGCAAACAGG